rnacentral:lncRNA from 1 species
CUUGCUCCCCUGGACUACUCAGGAGUGUUGAGGCACCCAACCUCAAGAAUUGAGUAUCAGUUUCUCAGCAUUCCAGGCUUGAGCACAUGCUGAUCUGAGAGUCAGAGUCAAGAAAGAUGUCAUUCACUCUGGCAGCAUCGAAUGUCGGCAGUGGCAGCACACAGUGUCCAGCACAUGGUGCCAACAGCUGUGACAAGCCAGACAAUCCCAAAGUAAGAAAAAAGCUGCAAAUUUAUGAGAGCCCUCAUCCAGUGGCUGAAGGAAGCAGAGACAGACAUCCACAGAUAUACACUGAGCUGAAAUCUGGAAUUUAGUUGAAGAGAGGAAGGAAUGAAGAUCGAAGGGGUCUGUACCAGGUUGGAGAAACCCACAGGAACAGUUGGCCUGAACAAGAAAGAGCACAUCGACCCCAGAUGCUGUCUGGGAGGCCAGUACAAGACUGAUCCAGACCCCUGAACAUGGAUGUCAAUAAGGAGGCCUCAGCCCUCCAAGGAGCCUCUGGUAGUGGAUUAGUAUUUUUCCCUGGUGCAAGAAGGGACUUUGAGAGCCCAUCCCACAUGAAGGGAUACACUCUGGCCCUGGACACAAGGGGAAGGGCCCAGGCCCAGCAAAGGAAGAUUUGAUGGACUUUGCAGAGCCCCAAUUG